CAUAAGCAAAUUCUAGCUCCAGGAUUGACAGUCUUUGACUGUUCAACAAUAAAAAUCCAGCACCAGCAAUUAUUCCAAUAUAUAGAUGUAAAACUUAAAAUCUGCCAUUUCUAGCAAAACAGGAAUUCUUUAUUAUAAUGGGUUUAUAGGGAUGGCAACAGAUUGCUAGCCAUCAUCCACACACACCCUACAUUGGGUACAGGGGUUGGGUUAGGAUCUGAG
rnacentral:misc_RNA from 1 species